AUGCGGGCCAGGGAGAUGCACCCGCUCUGCUGCCUCGCAGCGGACUACUGCCCCGGGGGCGGCGGCGCCGCCGAGGACGACGACGGGGACUGCUCCCCGCCGCCCGCGGACGGAGCGGCGGUGGCGGGGGUGCUGCACAAGUGGACCAACAUCGGCAGGGGCUGGCGCCCGCGCUGGUUCGCGAUCCGCGGCGGCGUGCUCGCCUACUCGAAGAUCCGCCGCCGCGUCGCGGCGGAGGAGACGCCGCCGCCGCCGCCGGCCGAGCUCGCCGUGGGCGCGGGCGUCAGGGUGAUCGGGGGCGCGGACCGCGGCGCCGGGGAGCGGCCCAUCGGAUUCGUCCAUCUCAAGAUCUCAUCAUUUAGUGAAAGUAAAUCAGAUGACAAACGGUUCUAUAUCAUUACCCCAACCAAGACACUUCAGCUGAGGACAGGUUGCGUUAAGGACCGUGUCGCUUGGAUUGAAGCACUUGUUUCAGCGAGAAGUGAAUAUUCUCUUGGUGGUAUUUUACCAAGUGACCGGAAUGGUGGAUCAUUUUCUACAGAAAAGCUAAGAGAUCGCUUGCAUGCUGAAGGUGUUGGUGCAGAAAUUGUUAAAGACUGUGAGCAGAUUGUUCAUUCAGAAUUUUCACAGUAUCACGUACAGAUGAAGCAGCGUUGUGAAUCGUAUUUAAGCUUUAUCGGCAGUCUUCCACGGGAACUUGAGGCAGUUAAUUCAGAAGAUGCAACUAUUCGUGGCAAUCCACAGUCGCAGUUGUUCAAGCCUGACUUUUCCAGCUCUGGAAAAUGUAGUGAAUACAGCAACACAGAAUCUUCUGAAGAUGCUGGUAAACAAGAAAUAGGGAGAAUGUCAGAUGAAGAUGAGUUUCAUUUCUAUGAUACAAGGCAAAGUUUUAGCGACGGUGUGGCUAGUCCUGAAUUGAAAGUGAGAUACUUAAAUUAUGGGAAUGAAGCUUGCAAAUUUGGUGACUCAUUAGCUGCCGACAAGACCAAUGAAGAUCUAUUAUCGUCUGCGAAGAGGCGCUCCAAGUUGCCUGAACCAGUAGAGAAGGAGAGAAGUGUUAGCCUUUGGUCCAUGAUCAAAGAUAAUGUUGGCAAGGAUCUUACAAGGGUCUGUCUUCCUGUUUAUUUUAACGAGCCUUUGUCGUCUCUUCAAAAGUGCUUUGAAGAGUUGGAGUAUUCCUAUUUAUUGGACCGUGCAUACGAAUGUGGUUUAACGGGCAAUGGUCUGAUGAGAAUUCUUUAUGUUGCUGCCUUUGCUGUCUCUGGAUAUGCUUCCACAGAUAGCCGGCCCUGCAAACCUUUCAAUCCACUGUUAGGGGAAACUUAUGAAGCUGAUUACCCUGAAAAGGGGAUACGUUUCUUCUCUGAAAAGGUUAGUCAUCAUCCGAUGGCCAUGGCAUGCCAUUGUGAAGGAAAAGGUUGGAAAUUUUGGGGAGACAGCAAUCUAAAGAGUAAAUUCUGGGGUCAGUCGAUUCAAGUGGAUCCUAGUGGCAUAUUAACCCUAGAGUUUGAUGAUGGAGAAACUUUCCAGUGGAGCAAGGUUACAACCACAAUUAAUAACCUUAUCAUUGGUCGAGUAUAUUGCCAUCACCAUGGCACAAUGAAUAUUAGUGGAAACAAAAAAUAUUCAUGCAAGCUGAUGUUUAAAGAGCAGUCUUUUCUCGAACGUAAUCCUCGCCAGGUUCAAGGCUUUGUUAAAGAUGCUGAUGGCACCAAGGUUGCAUCCCUGAUGGGCAAGUGGGACGAGAGCAUGUAUUGCGUUGUUAGUGAUGAUGCUUCUAAGCUGAGCUCUCAUAUUUCACAUCAGAGCGCUGGCGCUACCUUGUUGUGGAAGAAAAAUGAGCCUCCAGCAGAUCCCACUCGAUAUAACUUGUCAUCAUUUGCGAUUACUUUAAAUGAGCUGACUCCAGGGCUUAAGGAGAAGCUUCCACCAACAGAUUCAAGACUCAGACCAGACCAGCGACAUCUAGAGAAUGGGGAGUACGAAAAGGCCAACUCUGAGAAACUGCGCCUCGAGACCAGACAACGAAUGGCAAGGAACAUGCAGGAGAGUGGCUGGAAGCCAAGAUGGUUCCAAAGGGACAGCGAGCAUGGAACAUACCGCUAUGUCGGAGGCUACUGGGAGGCAAGGGAACAGACGAAAUGGGUUGGAUGCAGUGACAUAUUUGGCAGUUUCUGCGACAAUCCAAAGCCACGGGUGUCCACGCUGUACACCAGCGCGAGUGUCUAA
rnacentral:rRNA from 1 species